UAGCUAUGUCCUAAGUCAAACUUUUUAAAGUUUGACUAAGUUUAUAGAAAUUUUUACUAAUAUAUACAAUAUCAAAUAAAGAUGCUAUGAAGAAAUACAUGAUAUAUCAUGUCGGGUUUAAUAAAACUAAUUUAGAGUUGUACAUGUUGGUAGAUUUUUCUAUAAACCUUGGUCAAGCUUCAGGAAGUUUGACUUAGGACAAAACUUA
rnacentral:pre_miRNA from 1 species